GACGAACGCUGGCGGUGCGCUUCAUACAUGCAAGUCGAGCGAGGACGGCAUCUUCGGGUGUCGAGCCGAGCGGCGGACGGGUGCGUAACACGUGGGCAAUCGAUCCUCGAAUGGGGGAUAACGCUCCGAAAGGGGCGCUAAUACCGCAUACGCUUCGGCCUUCGCAUGAGGGUGGAAGGAAAGGCGGCCUCUGAUGCAAGCUGCCGUUGGGGGACGAGCCUGCGGCCCAUUAGCUGGUUGGCAGGGUGACGGCCUACCAAGGCGACGAUGGGUAGCCGGCCUGAGAGGGUGGCCGGCCACACUGGGACUGAGACACGGCCCAGACUCCUACGGGAGGCAGCAGUAGGGAAUCUUGCGCAAUGGGGGGAACCCUGACGCAGCGACGCCGCGUGGGCGAAGAAGGCCUUCGGGUUGUAAAGCCCUGUUGCCCGGGACGAAGGCAGGGAGGGGAAGAUCCUCUCUGAUGACGGUACCGGGUGAGGAAGCCCCGGCUAACUACGUGCCAGCAGCCGCGGUAAUACGUAGGGGGCGAGCGUUGUCCGGAAUGACUGGGCGUAAAGGGCGUCUAGGCGGCUUCUUGCGUGUGAGGUCAAAGGCGCCGGCUCAACCGGCGAGAUGCCUUGCAAACGGGGGAGCUUGAGGACAGGAGAGGGAUGCGGAAUUCCCGGUGUAGCGGUGAAAUGCGUAGAGAUCGGGAAGAACACCAGUGGCGAAGGCGGCAUCCUGGGCCUGGUUCUGACGCUGACGCGCGAAAGCGUGGGGAGCGAACGGGAUUAGAUACCCCGGUAGUCCACGCCGUAAACGAUGGGUACUAGGUGUGGGAGGUAUCGACCCCUUCCGUGCCGGAGCUAACGCACUAAGUACCCCGCCUGGGGAGUACGGCCGCAAGGCUGAAACUCAAAGGAAUUGACGGGGGCCCGCACAAGCAGUGGAGCAUGUGGUUUAAUUCGACGCAACGCGAAGAACCUUACCCGGGCUUGACAUCCUCCGACGCCUGCAGAGAUGCAGGGUUCCUUCGGGACGGAGAGACAGGUGCUGCAUGGUUGUCGUCAGCUCGUGUCGUGAGAUGUUGGGUUAAGUCCCGCAACGAGCGCAACCCCUAUCCCGUGUUGCCAGCGAGUCGCGUCGGGCACUCACGGGAGACUGCCGGUGACAAACCGGAGGAAGGUGGGGAUGACGUCAAAUCCCCAUGGCCCUUAUGUCCGGGGCUACACACGUGCUACAAUGGCCGGUACAGCGGGAAGCCAGUCGGCAACGACGAGCGGAUCCCCAAAGCCGGCCCCAGUUCGGAUUGGAGGCUGCAACUCGCCUCCAUGAAGGCGGAAUUGCUAGUAAUCGCGGAUCAGAAUGCCGCGGUGAAUCCGUUCCCGGGCCUUGUACACACCGC
rnacentral:rRNA from 1 species